rnacentral:rRNA from 1 species
UACAGAGGUCCCGAGCGUUGUUCGGAUUCACUGGGCGUAAAGGGUGCGUAGGUGGCUGGAAAAGUUUGAUGUGAAAGCUCAGGGCUUAACCCUGAAAUGGCAUUGAAUACUGUCGAGCUGGAGGUUUGGAGGGGGGACUGGAAUUCUUGGUGUAGCAGUGAAAUGCGUAGAUAUCAAGAGGAACACCAGUGGCGAAGGCGGCCUGCUGGGCGAUAGCUGACGCUGAGGCGCGACAGCGUGGGGAGCAAACAGG